AGAGUUUGAUCAUGGCUCAAACGUACGCUGGCGGCACGCCUAACACAUGCAAGUCGAACGAAGUAGCAAUACUUAGUGGCAGACGGGUGAGUAACAUGUAGGUAUCUGCCCUUUGGCCUGGAAUAACACGAGGAAACUUGUGCUAAUACUGGAUAAGUCUUUACGGAGAAAGCUUUAUGCACCAUUGGAUGAGCCUGCACUUGAUUAGUUUGUUGGUAGGGUAAUGGCCUACCAAGACUGUGAUCAAUAGCUGAUUUGAGAGGAUGAUCAGCCACAUUGGGACUGAGACACGGCCCAAACUCCUACGGGAGGCAGCAGUGGGGAAUCUUGCACAAUGGAGGAAACUCUGAUGCAGCGAUGCCGCGUGAGUGAAGAAGGCCCUUGGGUUGUAAAGCUCUUUCGUCGGGGAAGAAAAUGACUGUACCCGAAUAAGAAGGUCCGGCUAACUUCGUGCCAGCCGCCGCGGUAAUAC
rnacentral:rRNA from 1 species